GACGAACGCUGGCGGCGUGCUUAACACAUGCAAGUCGAACGGAAAGGCCCUGCUUUUGUGGGGUGCUCGAGUGGCGAACGGGUGAGUAACACGUGAGUAACCUGCCCUUGACUGUGGGAUAACGUCAGGAAACUGGGGCUAAUACCGGCUAAGAGCUCCUGCUGCAUGUUGUUGGUUGGAAAGUUUCGGCGGGUUGGGAUGGACUCGCGGCUUAUCAGCUUGUUGGUGGGGUAGUGGCUAGGACAGGCUUUGACGGUUAGCCGCACUGAGAGGGUGACCGGCCCCAGUGGGAUUGGGGUACGGCCCAGACGCCAACUGGAGGAAGCAGUGGGAAUUAGUGCAAACUGGGCGGAAGCCUGAUGGAGCAUUUCCGCGUCGUGGAUCACGGUCGUCGGGUUGUAACCCGUUUUAGCGUGGGACGAAGAGUGAGUGACGGUAACGUGUAAAGAAGCACCGGCUAACUACGUG
rnacentral:rRNA from 1 species